GACCAAAGGGGGCGAGCGUAAGCAGCUCUCACCGAAGGAGGAGCCUGCGUCCGAUUAGCUAGUUGGUGGGGUAAUGGCCUACCAAGGCGACGAUCGGUAGCCGGCCUGAGAGGGCGAUCGGCCACACUGGAACUGAGACACGGUCCAGACUCCUACGGGAGGCAGCAGUGGGGAAUAUUGCGCAAUGGGCGAAAGCCUGACGCAGCGACGCCGCGUGGGUGAUGAAGGCCUUCGGGUCGUAAAGCCCUGUCUGGUGGAACGAAACGCCUGGCGGCCAAUACCCGCUGGGUUUGACGGUACCACCGAAGGAAGCCCCGGCUAACUACGUGCCAGCAGCCGCGGUAAGACGUAGGGGGCGAGCGUUGUUCGGAUUUACUGGGCGUAAAGCGCGUGUAGGCGGCCAGAUAAGUCGGGUGUGAAAGCCCUCGGCUCAACCGAGGUUCCGCAUCCGAUACUGCUUGGCUGGAGUCUAGGAGAGGAGAGCGGAAUUCCCAGUGUAGCGGUGAAAUGCGUAGAUAUUGGGAGGAACACCCGUGGCGAAGGCGGCUCUCUGGACUAGUACUGACGCUGAGGCGCGAAAGCUAGGGGAGCGAACGGGAUUAGAUACCCCGGUAGUCCUAGCCGUAAACGAUGGGCACUAGGUGUGGGAGGUAUUGACCCCUUCCGCGCCGAAGCUAACGCAUUAAGUGCCCCGCCUGGGGAGUACGGCCGCAAGGCUAAAACUCAAAGGAAUUGACGGGGGCCCGCACAAGCGGUGGAGCAUGUGGUUCAAUUCGACGCAACGCGAAGAACCUUACCAGGGCUUGACAUCCCACGAACCUGCCUGAAAGGGCGGGGUGCCCGCAAGGGAGCGCGG
rnacentral:rRNA from 1 species